rnacentral:rRNA from 1 species
CCUACGGGUGGCAGCAGUAGGGAAUUUUCGGCAAUGGGGGGAACCCUGACCGAGCAACGCCGCGUGAACGAAGAAGUUAUUCGUAAUGUAAAGUUCUUUUAACAGGGAAGAAAGAGAAAUUUGACGGUACCUGAAGAAUAAGCUCCGGCUAACUACGUGCCAGCAGCCGCGGUAAUACGUGGGGAGCGAGGGUUAUCCGGAAUGAUGGGGCGAAAAGGGAGUGUAGAUGGUAUAGUAGGACUUUUGGAAAAAUGCUGGGCUCAAGCCAGUAGGGCAAAAGAGACUGGAAAGCUAGAGUAUGACAGAGGCAAGUGGAACUACAGGUGUAGCGGUAAAAUGCGUAAAUAUAUGUAAGAACACCAGUGGCGAAGGCGGCUUGCUGGGUCGAUACUGACAUUGAGGCACGAAAGCGUGGGGAGCAAACAGGAUUAGAUACCCCGGUAGUC